UCGGAAUAACUCAGGGAAACUUGAGCUAAUACCGGAUAAUGACGUAAGUCCAAAGAUUUAUCGCCGAGGGAUGAGCCCGCGUAAGAUUAGCUAGUUGGUGAGGUAAAGGCUCACCAAGGCUACGAUCUUUAGCUGGUCUGAGAGGAUGAUCAGCCACACUGGGACUGAGACACGGCCCAGACUCCUACGGGAGGCAGCAGUGGGGAAUAUUGGACAAUGGGCGAAAGCCUGAUCCAGCAAUGCCGCGUGAGUGAUGAAGGCCUUAGGGUUGUAAAGCUCUUUUACCCGGGAUGAUAAUGACAGUACCGGGAGAAUAAGCUCCGGCUAACUCCGUGCCAGCAGCCGCGGUCCUACGGAGGGAGCUAGCGUUGUUCGGAAUUACUGGGCGUAAAGCGCACGUAGGCGGCUUUGUAAGUUAGAGGUGAAAGCCCGGGGCUCAACUCCGGAACUGCCUUUAAGACUGCAUCGCUUGAAUCCAGGAGAGGUGAGUGGAAUUCCCGAGUGUAGAGGUGAAAUUCGUAGAUAUUCGGAAGA
rnacentral:rRNA from 1 species